rnacentral:lncRNA from 1 species
AACAGUCCAACUCUUGCAAAUGCACCAUCGGUUGCCAUGUAAAACUAGCAGUACUGCUUGCCAAAGACGACAUCGUUGCAUCAUCGGACCAAAACACAUCUUGCACCACUUGGUCUUCGUCUACUGGUAAACCCUGUAACUCAAAUUCAUGAAUGUUCAUAUCAUCAUUGUGAUUAAUUCCCAUAAAAGUUUGAACAUUUUCUUCCUGUGAUUGUUGAUGUCCUUCAAGUAAAUAAUGAUCAACUGCUUCAACAAGAUCACCAGCCUUGGAAGAAUUUUGUGAGCCAUCGUGAUCGUUCAAUGCUGAGCUUGAAAUUACCAAAUUGGGGUCAUGAUAAUGAUCAUCAGGGGUAGUGGAGUUGUGGUUUAAGAAUUUGGC